AUCUUUUUGCAGGUUUUCCUCUAUAGGUACUAGCUGCUGCAUCAUGUUCCCUCAGGGAACGAGACGUCAGUGGAGCAAUAUUAGAUGAUCUGCUGAUACAACGCAGUCGGUUGAAGUAGUACUGAAGCAGAUGUUCCUCACGGGAAGUGGUGGGUGAUGGCAGCAGUGCAGCACAUUGAAGUUAUGCAUUUUAGAGAGAGCAUCCAGGAAAUUAUGAAUGACGAGUUUGGCGAUGAAAU